GAAGGAUCAUUAACGAGUUCUUGAACAGGUUGUCGCUGGCCCUUUACAGGGUAUGUGCACACCUGGCUCAAUUUCCACUCUUAACCUCUGUGCACUCUUUGUAGGUCGGUUGAUGCUGGCGCAAGUCAGUUUGAAGCCUUCCUAUGUUUUAUUACAAACGCUUCAGUUAUAGAAUGUUUACUUUGCUAUAACGCAAAUAUAUACAACUUUCAGCAACGGAUCUCUUGGCUCUCGCAUCGAUGAAGAACGCAGCGAAAUGCGAUAAGUAAUGUGAAUUGCAGAAUUCAGUGAAUCAUCGAAUCUUUGAACGCACCUUGCGCCCCUUGGUAUUCCGAGGGGCAUGCCUGUUUGAGUGUCAUGGAAUUCUCAUCCCCUAAAGUUAUUUUUGGUGGGCUUGGAUGUGGAGGUUGUGCCGGUUUGUUAAAAGCCGGCUCCUCUGAAAUGCAUUAGUGUGAAUCUUACUGAUCGCCUUCAGUGUGAUAAUUGUCUACGCUGUGGUUGUGAAGUAAAUUA
rnacentral:rRNA from 1 species